UACGUAGGGGGCGAGCGUUGUCCGGAUUUAUUGGGCGUAAAGAGCUCGUAGGCGGUUUGGUAAGUCGGAUGUGAAGUCUCCAGGCUCAACCUGGAGGGGUCAUUCGAGACUGCUAUGACUAGAGUUCGGUAGAGGAGUGUGGAAUUCCUGGUGGAGCGGUGAAAUGCGCAGAUAUCAGGAGGAACACCCGUAGCGAAGGCGGCACUCUGGGCCGAUACUGACGCUGAGGAGCGAAAGCGUGGGGAGCGAACAGG
rnacentral:rRNA from 1 species